GCACUGGUCGUCCAGAGGCGAGGACUCCGCAUUCGUAACGCGGCAACGCCGGUUCGACUCCGGCCCGGUGCU
rnacentral:tRNA from 1 species